AUUGAACGCUGGCGGAAUGCUUUACACAUGCAAGUCGAACGGCAGCACGGACUUCGGUCUGGUGGCGAGUGGCGAACGGGUGAGUAAUGUAUCGGAACGUGCCCAGUCGUGGGGGAUAACGUAGUGAAAAUUACGCUAAUACCGCAUACGAUCUAUGGAUGAAAGCGGGGGAUCGCAAGACCUCGCGCGAUUGGAGCGGCCGAUAUCAGAUUAGGUAGUUGGUGGGGUAAAGGCCCACCAAGCCAACGAUCUGUAGCUGGUCUGAGAGGACGACCAGCCACACUGGAACUGAGACACGGUCCAGACUCCUACGGGAGGCAGCAGUGGGGAAUUUUGGACAAGGGGCGAAAGCCUGAUCCAGCCAUUCCGCGUGCAGGAUGAAGGCCCUCGGGUUGUAAACUGCUUUUGUACAGAACGAAAAGGUUUCUACUAAUACAAGGAGCUCAUGACGGUACUGUGAGAAUAAGCACCGGCUAACUACGUGCCAGCCGCCGCAGUAA
rnacentral:rRNA from 1 species